UUCCGGUUGAUCCUGCCGGAGAUCACCGCUAUUAGAGUUCCACUAACCCAUGCGAGUUCCUGGGUAAAACCAGAGCGAACGGCUGAGUAACACGCAGUUAACAUCACUUUAGGUGGCGAAUAACCUUGGGAAACUGAGAUGAAUACGCCAUAGUCAAUUAUGCCUGGAACGGUUUAUUGACGAAAGCCUCGGCGCCUAAAGAUUGGACUACGGAGGAUUAGGUCGAUGUUAGGGUAAUGACCUGACAUGCCAAUAAUCCUUAGGGGCCAUGAAAGUGGUAGCCUCCAGAUGGAUUCUGAGACACGAAUCCAGGCCCUAUGGGGCGCAGCAGGGGGGAAAACUCCGCAAUGCACGAAAGUGUGACGGGGGAACUCUAAGUGCCAGCACACUGUGUUGGCUUUUCAUUAGUCCAAAUCGCUAGUGGAAUAAGUGGGGGGUAAGACCGUUGCCAGCCGCCGCGGUAAUAACGGCUCCACAAGUGGUGAUCACGUAUAUUGGGUCUAAAGCAUUCGUAGCCGGUUUGUUAAGUCUUCUGUGAAAUCUGGCAGAAAACUGUCAGGCGUGCAGGAGAUACUGGCAAGCUUGGAACCGGGAGGAGCCUGGAGUACUUUUAGGGUAGGGGUAAAAUCCUGUAAUCCUAAAGGGACUACCUGUGGCGAAGGCGCCAGGCUAGAACGGAUUCGACGGUGAGGAAUGAAAGCGAGGGGAGCAAAGGGGAUUAGAUUUCGCAACUAGCGUUGCUCAUUUAGAUCGCUAGCACGACUAAAUACCCCCGUAGUCCUCGCUGUAAACGAUGCCCGCUUGGUAUUGGAAGUUGCUAGACUUCUUCCAGUGCCGUAGGGAAGCCAUUGAGCGGGCCACCUGGGAAGUACAGUCGCAAGGCUGAAACUUAAAGGAAUUGGCGGGGGAGCACACAAGGGGUGCGGUCUGCGGUUCAAUUGGACUCAACGCCGGGAACCUCACCAGGGGUGACAGCAGUAUGAUGGUCAGUCUGAAGGGCUUACCUGACGCGCUGAGAGGUAUUGCAUGGCCGUCGUCAGCUCGUGCCGCGAGAGCUUUUACUAAGGUCUUUCUUAAGAAAGGCUCCGGUAAAGGUGUCCUGUUAACAGGUCGUGGUGCAGCAUAAUGACAUCACCAUGGAAGCUUCAUAAAUUUCAGACUCGCAAGAGUCUGAAAAGCUUGAAAAUCCGUAGCGGAUUUUCAUGACACCCAAUAGUGUAUAUCAAGAAAAAAUAUAGCAAGUAUGCAAAGAGUAAACGCGUAUACCUAAUAAGGGUUUUGGAUUAAUUAUCGAAGCUUUUAAUCUGACAGAUAGUCAGGUAACGAGCGAGACCCACGCCGUAUGUUGCCAGCUGUUUCUUCGGAAGCGGCGCACUCAUGCGGGACUGCCCGUGCUAAAUGGGAGGAAGGAGUGGUCAACGGUAGGUCAGUGUGGUCCGAAUCCCCUGGGCUACACGCGGGCGCCAAUGGCAAGGACAAUAGGAUGCAACUCCGAAAGGAGGAGCUAAUCCCUGAACCCUUGUCUCAGUACAGAUUGAGGGUUGCAACUCACCCUCAUGACGCCGGAAUCCCUAGUAGGCGAAUGUUAGCACCUUUCGUCGAAUACGUCCCCGCUCCUUGCACACACCGCCCGUC
rnacentral:rRNA from 1 species